rnacentral:lncRNA from 1 species
AUAAUUUCGACAAAUCUUUAUUAAGGUCCUAAAUUUUUUUCCUUUGUAGCCGUUGCAACAAAAUUAGAUUAUAGGGACACAUAUUUGGAACACUUUUGUGUAAGUGUCCAAUCCAACCAAAAAUAAAAGGUUACUCUACUCAACCCAUCCCACCUAGUCCAUUCGACCCGAUUAUAAACAGAAAAGAAAAAGAAAAGAAAAGUCGAUUAUCAUUUCUCCUUUUCCCCUCACUCAAUCGACUGAAAUCCCAGAUGAAGAUCCCUUCCUCUCGUCCUCCUCCGCUAUCAGAUAGAGUUUCAGUGGUUGCUAAAUGCUUAAAUAAGUGUUGGUAAAUUAGCAGCACUCUUUUUAGAUUAUAGCGAUAUUUUUUAACCGUCACUAUAUACCUAGCGACCCCACAUAUAGCCAUACUUUUUAAAAGUAUCGGUAAUUUAGCUAGCAACACUUUUUUUGACUUGUACCAAUAUUUAAAGGUGUCACUAUAGACCAUUUUUGCUGUAGUAAGGAUAUUUACUUGUUUUUUUUUUAAAAAAAAAUAAUAAGCUGGUACAAAGUAAAUAAGUG